CCAAUAGCGUAUAUUAAAGUUGUUGCAGUUAAAAAGCUCGUAGUUGAAUUUCGGGAUCAAUAUGUCGGUCGUGCCUCGGUACGUACUGGCGUCAUUGGUUUCUCCCUUCUGAGGAACCACGAUGUCAUUAAUUUGGUGUCUUGGGGAAUCAGGACUGUUACUUUGAAAAAAUUAGAGUGUUUAAAGCAGGCUCACGCUUGAAUACAUUAGCAUGGAAUAAUGAAAUAGGACGUUUGAUUCUAUUUUGUUGGUUUCUAGGAUCGACGUAAUGAUUAAUAGGGAUAGUUGGGGGCAUUAGUAUUCAAUUGUCAGAGGUGAAAUUCUUGGAUUUAUUGAAGACUAACUACUGCGAAAGCAUUUGCCAAGGAUGUUUUCAUUAAUCAAGAACGAAAGUUAAGGGAUCGAAGACGAUCAGAUACCGUCGUAGUCUUAACCAUAAACUAUGCCGACUAGGGAUCGGAUGAUGUUAAUUUUUUAAUGACUCAUUCGGCGCCUUACG
rnacentral:rRNA from 1 species